AUAGCGUAUAUUAAAGUUGUUGCGGUUAAAAAGCUCGUAGUUGAACUUUAGGCAAGGCGGUCUGGUCAUCCAUUGGAUGUACUGGGCUCGCCGCGCCUCACCUUCGGGGAACUAGUCGUGCUUCGGUGCGCUAGGGAACCGAGCCUUACUUUGAAGAAAUUAGAGUGUUUAAAGCAGGCUUACGCUUGAAUACAUCAGCAUGGAAUAACAUGAUAGGACUAUGGUUCUAUUUUGUUGGUUUGAGGACCAAAGUAAUGAUUAAUAGGGACAGUUGGGGGCAUUAGUAUUCUAUAGUCAGAGGUGAAAUUCUUGGAUUUAUAGAAGACUAACUAAUG
rnacentral:rRNA from 1 species